rnacentral:tRNA from 2 species
GGCGCCGUACCCAAGCGGUAAGGGAGAGGUCUGCAAAACCUUUAUGCGUGCGUUCGAUCCGCACCGGCGCCU